rnacentral:lncRNA from 1 species
CCAUUUACACUUGCUGUACAUACGCAGCCUGUUUCAUAAUGCUUGUUUAUACUCUGUAUACUCCACACCGCAAGCCUCUACGAGCGCAUCUGGCAAUAUGGACAAGGCUUGACACAUGGCUGCAACCUGUGUCUAACUCGUGCCUGUUUCUGUAUUUAACACAAAUGUAAAUUCAAUUUAACUGCAUUGCUAAUUUCACUUGGAAGAAAUGAAACAUUCAGCACAUUUUCCACUUGUUCUUAAAAUCCUAAAUACUUAAAAAUGAAUAAAUCAUUCUAUUCCUGUGAAAUUCAGUAAUUAAGUAAUUCUGUAAAGUAUUAAUACCAUUAUAAUAUUCCCCUGCUAGAAAAAAAACUUAGAACCCCUCAAAAACNCAAUAGAAAAUUUAUGGAUUUAAGGGUUAUAAGGUCUACUAAUGGAUUUAAGGGUUAUAAGGUCUACUGGUAUUUGAUGGAUUCUAUUGGUGGGAUGUAAUCUGGGAGAUGGGAAACAAUAGAACAACAGUAAUUCCUAUUGGAAUAAUGACCAAAACACAUUACAAAAAGUAAUUUUGUAAUCGUUUUAAUGGAAACCAUAAUAAUUUUUUUGUGAUGGUUUCUAUUGUUUUUUUUUCAGCAUUGUAACAAAACCCAUACUGUGCUGCACACUAUUGACAAUUUUAAGCUGAAGCCUGACUUUGCAAAAUUAAAAUCGCAAAUCAAAUCGCAACCACAAUAUGUCAAAAAAAUCGCAAUUAGAUAUUUGCCCCAAAUCACACAACCCUAAUAUGUUAUGUGAAUAUACAUGUCAUGUGUGUUUUCUUUCAUUUACUAACUGCUUUUUUUCUUAAAAAUUACAAAAUAAGACUAGCUUCUCUAAUCUUUUUGUAUUCUAUGUUUUUUUUUAUUAUAAUAAUAAUAAUAAUUAACAAAAAAGGCCUUUAAAACUAGUUUGCUCUAUUCUUUUUCUAUACUGUUUCUUUUUAUUUAUUAUGUAAAAAAAACUUGCUAGGUGUACUGCGUUCAGCUAACUGAAACACUUGCAUAUCAUUGCUCUUUUGUUGCUAAAUGUAAAUGUAAUGUAAACAUGUUUUUAACUAUAUUUAUAAAUAUAUGUAUUUUUUGUAAUAAUGUAAAUGUAUUUGUUUUAUAUAAACAUAUUUUAAUAUAUAUUUAUAUAUCUGUAUUUGUCUAAUUUUUAUAUAUUAAUAAAGCAGUUCAGACUAUAUGAGUGUUUUAUUU